CACAAAAAGAGGACACUCAAGAUUUUUCUUAAAACCGAACUUUUUUCUCAGCCACAUGGAACACUUGUCUUCAGUGAUGGGAGAUGCCUAGGGCAACGUGUGUGUCUGGAAGGGCUGGACUGCUCCUGAGGCCGGCCCACCACUUCUUGGAUUUCGGAGCAGGAGUGGCAGGGAAGCGAGGGAGGACCGAGGCCCAAUCUCAGCCUUUCAAAUUUGCUGGACCAGUGCAAGAUCAAACACAAGGUACACUCAAGUGUCAAUGUAAAGGAACACCGUGACAACCUGGAUUAUGAGUGAAGUUAAUUCUUUCCUGGCAGACUCUGCAUUCCAUUGUCGGGGUUGGAUGCACCCAAGCAGAAGUGCCAAAAAGUCAAGAAGUCCAAGAAUGUUCAACCACAGCCUGUCUGCCAAGGUGUUUGAUGACGUCUGCCAUUCGGGUGUAGAUCACUUGUAUUCCAGACCCUCUAAGUAGCAAAGUAAAUACUGUGCCGUGUGCUCAGAAAGAUGUUAAUAAACAGCGCUGGACAGAGCAGAGCUGAAAGGCGCCUUGUGGAUAUCACAGCGAGAAUGUGGCUGUCCCAGCUGCAAAGCCCUGUUAGGAGACGUGUUGAAACACUUGCUGCCCUAAGAAACGAUGCCUUUGACAUUUUCAGAAGACCUGUGCGACUGUCUGAAAGAAUUGGGGGAGCAGACUGAUGAGGUAUCGGGAAACCAAAAGGCGGUUGCUAUUGGUGUCGCAGAAUAAUAUAAGAGCUUUCCCCUUCUCAUCACCAUCAUGUACGUCAGCCAAAGAAUUCAUCUCUGGUAUCCUAGAAGGACUGCUAUGGGGACAGUCCCCAUCUCUGUUCAUGGCACCUCAGCAUUUUGUGGAGAAGAGAUGGACAAAACAAUGAUCUGGCUAUAGUAUAUGAUAGGCUUUUCUUGUAGGGGACUAAGACAACAUCAGGGCACUGGUAGAAGUCCAUCAUUAGCUUCAAAAACCCUUGUGAGUUUUUCUCCAUUCAUAUUUCAUUAUUGGUAUUUCAUUAUGGACAAACCCCGCCCCCCCUCCCCCAAAACUGUCUCCAAACCAAACCGAAGGGAAUGAAAAAAAGAAAAAGUACAGUCAAGGGAGACUUAAAACCAGAAAGCACAUCAAAGUACGUUCUGCAUUGCUUCG